rnacentral:rRNA from 1 species
AUGGAGACGGUCUUGGCAGGCAACGAGCAGCAACACGGUGCACCGACGCAGCAACGCAGGCGGGUGCUCGAGCAGGACUUGGCGCCGGUCAUCGUCCUCACGUUCUCGCAUGACAAAAACAGGGGCGAAAGGAAAGGCACGGGCAGGAGGACGGUGAAGGAUGAAGGGGCCGACAUCGGCCUUGGCGCGAAGCAGGGGAGGCCAUGGCGUCGGGCAGGGGUUCCCGAGGUGGUGCAGGUGGCCCAAGGCGAGGUGCAGCAGGACAGAGCUCGACGGAGCAAGGUGGUGGAGGUGCUCGACGCGGGCCGACUCGAUCCGGCCGGAUCCGGCGGCUGGGGGUCGGGGAUGAAGCCGGAGACGCGAGGACGAGGCGGGUCGACGGGGCGGCGCUGCUUGCCCUAG